rnacentral:piRNA from 1 species
UAAAGAAAUGUGUUGAAACUGUGUAUCA